rnacentral:rRNA from 1 species
GAUGAACGCUGGCGGCGUGCUUAACACAUGCAGGUCGAACGGAAAGGCUCCUGCUUGCCGGGGUACUCGAGUGGCGAACGGGUGAGUAACACGUGGGUGAUCUGCCCUGCACUUCGGGAUAAGCCUGGGAAACUGGGUCUAAUACCGGAUAGGACCACAUUUUGGAUGGUGUGGUGGAAAGUUUUUCGGUGUGGGAUGAGCUCGCGGCCUAUCAGCUUGUUGGUGGGGUAAUGGCCUACCAAGGCGUCGACGGGUAGCCGGCCUGAGAGGGUGUACGGCCACAUUGGGACUGAGAUACGGCCCAGACGCCUACGGGAGGCAGCAGUGGGGAAUAUUGCACAAUGGGAGCAAGCCUGAUGCAGCGAAGCCGCGUGGGGGAUGACGGCCUUCGGGUUGUAAACUCCUUUCGCUAGGGACGAAGCGCAAGUGACGGUACCUGGAGAAGAAGCACCGGCUAACUACGUG